GACGUUUCUGUGUGCAUGCAGGACCACGGAGGCUACGGAAGAGUCCAGGGUUUGCUCUGAAAGCCGACGUCCUGCUUCCGAUGUAGGACAGUCACCUCAUGCUCCUGUCCCACCGCAGAAGGCUUGUCAUGUCUGGAUGCUCCCGCUUGCCGGAGAAAUCGUCCCUCGUAUGGAAAUCUAACAUGCUUUUACCCAGAGGUUUCCAGAGCAGAAGUCAUGGAAAGUCAUAGAAUGGAAUCAGAUGGUAGUGGGUUUGAAAUAAGAGUAAGAAUAAAAAGAUGGAUUUCUACAAGCCAGACCAUACUAUAUGCUGGAGGCAUAUACCAUCCAUAUAUUUUUAGGUGCUUUACGAUCUCACUGGGAGGAGGCCCUGCGACGAGUGACUGACAGGCAUGUGAGGAUCUCCCCUUCCUUUCGUGGGGCUGGAAAAUGUAGGAUAACGUCUUGGCGCUUUUCCUUCAUGUGUAAGAUUCUGCUAAGGUGCCGCCCAGACUGUCUGCCAGCGUCUGUCUUCCUGCCCUUCCUCCUUCCUCCUCUUCCGAAGGAACGGUUUUUUUAGAUUUUUAUUUUUUUGCUAAAGUGCUUUUGCAGCAUCCAGGGUGUGAUGCAUUAUUAAUACCCUGAAUGAUCCUAAGAACUGCAUCUGGGAAUCCAUUUAGGUCAUACAGCUACGUGCCGGCGGCUCUCAAGAGACGCUGGAAAAGAGAAUAUCUGUCUUGUUGUUUCACACUGGGGGGGGGGGGGAAGCCAGCCAUGACCCCCCCUCCGCCACACCCCUGUUUGACUCCCCAUCCCCUAUUAUUUUAUCACAUGGAAUCAUAGGGUUCCCCAAGGGUCAUCCAUACCAACCCCCUGCGAUGCAGGAAUAGGCAGGUCUCCUAGAAUGCCAGAGGUGGUGUGAAGCCAGCUGUGCCUGGGCUCAAGUUAACCCUUCCGCUCGCUUGUAUGUCAUCUUCAAUUAAUAUAAGAGCAUCAGGAGAUUCUGCUUGGUCAAGCCAAAGGCCCCUCUGUCCCAGAAUCCCCUUCUCAAGGGCUGCAGGCUGGCUACGGGUGCAAAGUGCUUUACGGAAACAAUCAAAGGCAUUUCGGUUUUGACAGAUUUCUUCCAGCUGGGCGGAAAGGCCUUGGGUGUUUAUUCUGCUUCGUUUUUUACAGCUAUUUCUAGCUGUCGGGGUUUUGCGUACAACUUUCGAAGCUAUUUUUGGCCACCGUGAUGCAAAUCGCCUCGGGGCUCACAUGGAAGGGGAUUCGUAAAUCAAUAAAAUGAAAAAUAAGGGAUCUGCCCCUCUUUUUCCAUAUCUCCUUUCUCUCUCCCUCUCUCCCUCUCUCCCUCUUGCUCUUAUCAGAGGCUGGAACUAAUGGUUGAUUUUUUGGGUGUCUUUUAAUAUUUUGUUUAUUGUUGUUGUUGUUCUUGCGGAGAGAUCUUGCAGGAUGGCCACCUGUGCUUCAGAACCUGACCUGGCCUGCAAAAGGUUUAGUCCUUCACCCCCCCCAAAACUCAUAAUAACCAAGGUGUGCUAUUUUUUCCAGAGUAGUUCCUGCAAAGUUGCAGCUGUUGUCCAUUUUAGGGUUGUGCUUGGAUCACACCAUCCAUCCAGAUGUGGAAUCAGCUGCUGCUGACUCGAAAGAGGCCAGCCUGGAGCCUUAGAGGAGCUGUUUCUUAUGGGCUGGGUGUUCAUGUCACUCCUGCGAGUCUCUCGAGCCACAAGGUUCGCCCCCAGAAGCAAACCCCACUUGCUCAAGGCUGCAUCCCUUCUUCCAGGCUUAACUCUGGGCUUGUCCACCCUUUCUCCUGGUCUGCCCCGCAGAGGACCUUAAGGUCCAUGAAUAACCCUAGUUUAGAGGUCCCAGGCCCUAAGGAAGUCAGACUAUCCUCCACUGGGGUCAGGGCCUUUUCAGUGAUGGCUCCGACCUGGUGGAAUGCUCUGUCCCAGGAGACCAGGGCCCUACAGGAUUUAACCUCCUUCCAUCGGGCCUGUAAGACAGAGCUAUUCCGCCUGGCCUUCAAUUUGAAUUCAGCCUGAUCUUUUAUUUCCCUUCUCUUCCCUCCCUCUCCCCUUUUAUGAAGAUUACCUGCUCUGACACCCCACAGCUAAUUCUCCCCUGGCCUCCU